AUAUAUACUGUCAAUGUAAAAGUCUUGUCUCAACUUGGGUGGUCGAAGCGGAGGACGCCCCCAAUUUGCCUCAUUGCUGAUGCACGUGAAAGAGCGCCGCUGCAUUCCCAGCGAUAUUGUUGCUCCUAAUCAAUCUGUCCUUCCUUAUUUACAUUCGUAAGCAUUGUUACCUUUAAUAUCCAUGGCCCACGCAUGUAGCUGCGCCUGGACAGCAGGAUUUGUCAACUUCAAGGAAUCACGAGGCUCCUGUGGAUUUAAGAAAUACUGAGCGCUGCCUUUUUUUUUUUUUAAUAUUGAGGGAGGCCUGUCGCACUCCAUGCGGGCUAUACGGACCGGGCCUGGUGUUCUUUACAUCUUGCUUUUCCACGUGGCCUGAGAGAGGGGAGGGACAAGGAGCCCAAGACCUCCAGCGCGCACAGGCCAGUAAUCUCCUCAGCUGGCCCUUUCUUCCACGACUCGCGCUCGAGCUUAUACAUCAUCUUGUGUAGCACGGGAUCUGCAUUUCAUUAGAAACCACUGGCACCACAACAAGCGCCCUUCCACCGCACAAACAAUAGCGCACGCAAAUCGCAAAUGCACGCCUACCAGCCACCAUAGAGAAGUCCUCCUAGGUGGCAAGAUACUCCCAGUGUUUCCAUCUGCCCUUGCUAUACAUAGAUCGUCAAGGGCGGCCUUGCAGCCUCCGGUUACGUUCAUAAAGUGAGACGAUGUUGAAAUAAACCACCUGCCUUAAGGAGAGGAAAGAGAGGCAAGACAUGAAACUGUACAAGGAACUGACCAGGGCGGUUUUGUAUCCUCUUUAGUUGUCCAUGUGCGCAGUGUGCGUGACAGACGCGCAGACUGAUCCAAUGCAUGUUUACUCGGAGUCAAGUCCCCCUGUAUUCAGUGGACCUGACUCGCUGAUACAGCGUGCAUAGGAUUACAAUUUAUUUUUAUAAAUAAGGACAUUGUCAUUUGCAAAGGGAACUCGAGUACAAAGCUAUAUUCCCAGGCCUCACUGGCCCGACCCAGAUGUGCUUAUCUUCAUGAAGGUCGCCUUGCCUGCUACAUCAUACGCCUUCAGGCUGUAACUUCUGACAGAGGACUGCUAAGUAUACUUCUGGGAUGAGUGGACAGUCUUUCAGAUAACUGGAUGUGUUUUCCUUGUUAGUUUUGAACCUAGUAGCUACUGGAGCCAGACUCAACUAUUUAGUGCCUAGGAAAGCUCUCAAUCACAUGGUUCCUAAAGUAGCAUAGUGCUGUUUUGUCUUCCUGUUACACACUUUAAAUACUUUGUUUGUUUUAAUAUGCAUACUAGGUAAGGGAAUAUCAGCCUGUGCCUGAAUGGGUUAAAAACAGCCCACCUUUCCUUCAAGGAGCUCAAGAUGACAUACAUGGUUCUUCUCUCCAUUCUGUCCUAACAACAACCCUGUGAGGCAGGCUGCUAAUCCGGUUUACACAUCACGCCUCCAUCUCUGAAUAGGGCUUUAUACACUGCAGCAAAGGCAGAGGAAAUAAAAGAAACCCAUUUUCCAGGAAGAAAGCCCAGGCUGUCCUAUGGAAGCUUCUACAUAACAACACUUCCAUUGAUUUCUGAAGGACUUGGAACACAGGUACACCCACUGAACACACCGUGCCCUGUAAACUGUGGACCACAGUUUGCUUGAAGAAAACAGAAAGAAGCAUGGGAACACAAGUUGGUGUUGAAAAGUUCCCUGUUCUAAUGGUGGUACCAACAGCCAAAGGAGAAGACAGGUUGCACCGAAGCCAAGGUUAGGUUGGAAAGCUCCAGUAUCUAGCAUGUUUUGAAUGGUUCACAAACUACCCACACCGACAGUGUGGUCCAGAGUGUUGGACUAGGACCCAGGAGAAGGACAUCUGGGUUUCAAGCCUUGAGGGCACCCACAAAACUCACUGGGUGGCCCAGUCACUGUCUAUAAUGCUCCAUCCUAAACACACCUACUUGGGAGCAAGACAGUCUAACUGGUUUAAAAAGAACUUACUUUCUGCUAAAUAGUAUGGUUAGGUAGCAGGCCCAAACUUCAGAGUUCCAUCUAUAAAAUGGGAAUAAUGACCUGUUUCUUGAGGCUGUUGUGAGGAUAUAGCAAAUAAAUACUG